rnacentral:rRNA from 1 species
UUUAAGCGAGGAGGAGGCUACCGAGAUUAAUACUCUUGGAUAGUGGACGUUACUCGCAGAAUAAGCACCGGCUAACUCUGUGCCAGCAGCCGCGGUAAUACAGAGGGUGCAAGCGUUAAUCGGAUUUACUGGGCGUAAAGCGCGCGUAGGUGGCCAAUUAAGUCAAAUGUGAAAUCCCCGAGCUUAACUUGGGAAUUGCAUUCGAUACUGGUUGGCUAGAGUAUGGGAGAGGAUGGUAGAAUAAGGGCGAAUUCGCGGCCGCUAAAUUCAAU